GAAACCCUCACGAACCCCAACCUUCAAGCUUCCGAUUUCUUUUCCCUUCGUAAACCUCAUCUUCCAUUGCUCAUACCCUCUUUCGGCAAAAAUCGACCCACUAUUUCUAAGACUCAUGUUUGUUGCAGUUUAUUUUCACUUGUGGAUGCUGUUUUUGCAGGUGAUUUUAGUAGCUGUAAGUUAUGGAGUCUUGUUGUGAGAAUGAAGGGAAGAACGUUAACAGAACUGUG
rnacentral:lncRNA from 1 species